UACGUAGGGUGCAAGCGUUAAUCGGAAUUACUGGGCGUAAAGCGUGCGCAGGCGGUUAUGUAAGACAGGUGUGAAAUCCCCGGGCUUAACCUGGGAACUGCAUUUGUGACUACAUAGCUAGAGUACGGUAGAGGGGGAUGGAAUUCCGCGUGUAGCAGUGAAAUGCGUAGAUAUGCGGAGGAACACCGAUGGCGAAGGCAAUCCCCUGGACCUGUACUGACGCUCAUGCACGAAAGCGUGGGGAGCAAACAGG
rnacentral:rRNA from 1 species